AACGAACGCUGGCGGCAUGCCUAACACAUGCAAGUCGAACGAGACCUCCGGGUCUAGUGGCGCACCGGUGCGUAACGCGUGGGAACCUGCCCGUAGGUUCGGAAUAACUCCCCGAAAGAUGUGCUAAUACCGGAUAAUGUCUUCCCACCAAAGAUUUAUCGCUUUUGGAUGGGCCCGCGUUAGAUUCGCUAGUUGGUAGGGUACUAGCAUAGCAAGGCGACGAUCCAUAGCUGGUCUGGGAGGAUGAUAAGCCCCGCUUGAACUCAGACACGGCCCAGAAUGCUACGGGAGGGAGCAGUAGGGAAUAUUAGAGAAUGAGGCAAAGUGUGGUCAAGCAAUGCCGCGUAAGUGAUGAAGGGCUUAGGGUUGUAAAGCUCUUUUUCCCGAGGUGAUAAUGACAGUACCGGGAGAAUAAGCUCCGGCUAACUCCGUG
rnacentral:rRNA from 1 species